rnacentral:lncRNA from 1 species
GAGGGCAUGAUAUGACUAUCACCAAACAAAACCUGGAACUCGUAGCCGAGGAACAAUCCGUAGAAGAGGAGCAGCUCGUAGCCAAGGAGCAGCUCGUAACCAAGGAGCAGCUGGUACCCAAGGAGAAUCUCGUACCCGAGUGAUGCAGCGGGUGAUGCAGCGCACAUCGUCUUUGUUGCUCACUCCUUUGGUGUUUGUCUACGUGUGCAACAAGUUACAACAUUGGUUUUAUUUAUU